rnacentral:rRNA from 1 species
AGCGUCCGUAGCCGGCUUAGCAAGUCUCCUGUUAAAUUCAGCGACCUAAUCGUUGAGCCGCGGGAGAUACUACUAGGCUAGGAGGCGGGAGAGGUCGACGGUACUNCUGGGGUAGGGGUGAAAUCCUAUAAUCCCGGGAGGACCACCAGUGGCGAAGGCUGUCGACUAGAACGCGCUCGACGGUGAGGGACGAAAGCUGGGGGAGCGAACCGGAUUAGAUACCCGGGUAGUCCCAGCCGUAAACGAUGCGGGCUAGGUGUUGGGGUGGCUACGUGCCACUUCAGUGCCGCAGGGAAGCCGUUAAGCCCG